UGGUAUCUCUAACCAAACACAACACAAUAACCCUACAAUAUACCACCAUACUUUUAACCAACAAAAAUUAGAAGAGGAAGAAGAUUGAGAGGAAUUUCAUUUAAGCGGAAGUAGUGGACUGUUGGGGAGCUGCAUUGAUACAGUAAUGAGACUAUUAAUGAAAAUAAUUGGUUGUUUGGUAAAAAAAUAAAAUCAGAAAUUAAAUAUCACCAAAGGGUAAAAUGGGAAUGAGAAAAUGCAAGAAACAAUCCGUGGUAAUAGAAAAAGUAACGCCCAAGACUUUUUUGUGACCUAAAAUUUGAUACACUUUGUUAAAAUCUACCAACUAAAAAACCCCUUACUUAAAUUUGCAAACCCAAUAUAUAUA
rnacentral:lncRNA from 1 species